rnacentral:lncRNA from 1 species
AGUUAAAACUAUUUAUUUUAUUUCAAAAAAACUUAAAUUUUAUAGUUAUACUAAAUUCAACAAAAGCAAAUAAAAAUAAAACAAGUCCCAAAAUAGUAAACAGCCCGAAAAGUCCAUAAUAAUCACAUAAUCUUUUAAUAACCAUUUUAUUUACGAGAUUCCAACUGAACUCCCACAUGUCGUCCGGUCCUAGGUCUGCUGUUACCUGAAAAGAUAAAAGUAAAGGGUGAGCUAACGAGCUUAAUGUGUAACUUAGCCCAAACAAACAGAACAAAACAGAUACAAUCAUAGUAACAGAUUUAGAUACAGUUACAGAUGUAGAUUCAGAUACAGAUACAAAAAUAGAUCCUACCCCUAUCCGCUACACACCAUCUUCAUUCAUCCUUACAUACCAAUUAAGGUAACUAAAUAACCAUCCAACCCCACACACCUAUAAGUGAGCGUAUGUCACUUUUCAGAAUAAUACAGUCAAGCUACCAGAAAUAUGCGAUAAAACACCAGAAUCACAUAAGUGUGGUUAAGCCACCAUAACAGAUAUGUGGUUAAAGCCACCAGAUAAGGUAAAUCAUUAAACUACCGCACUUCCUCUAUCACAUCAUUACCCCACCCCAAUGCACAUGCAAAUACUAAUUAGAUAGCAUAUGCAUAUAUAUCAUACAUGCUAUACAUUUCAGAACAUACUAUCAUGCUUUCAGAGUUUGUACUAACAGAAGCAACAUAUUAGAUUUCAUAUUUUAAUGACAUACAAAACACAUUACAGAACCUACGAAAUGGCUAACCUCAAUUCGCACUACGAGUGCGGCCCUAAAAAAAUGAAAGAAACAUAACAGAAUAGCAAACGAAACAUAGAAGAAACAGGGGAGAAAGAAAGAAAGAAAAAGAAAAGAAGAAAUUUAGGGUUUUCAAGGUUCAAUUUCAAAUUGGUUAGUCAAAUUAAGUCCUUUGCUUGUAAUUUUUGAGUUUUUAUGAAACUAGAACAAAAUACUACUAAGUAUGUGCUGAAAUUUUGGAAGAUAUUAGAUUUUUAGACAUUAAAUUUUAUUGAACAAAAAGAUGAAUUAGGGAUUUAAAUGAAUGAAAUUCAAGUUAGAAUAGAUAAAGGGAUUAAAUUGUAAAGUAAGCUAUAGGUUUUAUGUUGUAGGGACUAAAUUGAGGAAAAUUUGAAAUUAGUGAAAUAUGUUAAAAAUUUAGUAGUUAAAUUUGAGUUUGGAUGAAAUUUGAAUAAAAAUGAAGUGUGAAUUGAAUUAGAAAAGUAAGUAAACUUAGUUAAGAUUAAAUUGGGAAUAAGGUAAGAAUUGAUUAGAAAUUCAAUUAUUUAUUUUAAUUUAAUGCUGUAAUUAAUAGCGAAAAUUAUUAUUAUUUUCGUAGCUAACAAAGAACCUGAGGCAUCGGCAUCAAAAGGAAAGGAGAAAGCUAUCGAGGACUAAAACGAGAGAUUUACGGUUUGUAUUACUAUAAUUUGAAUUUAUUUAUUUUCAAUUGUUAAAUUUCAAUUAAAGUACUUGGUAAGUGAAAUUGAGGUGAGUAUUGAAAUAUUACAUUGAAUAAAAGUGAAUGAAAUUAUGAAUAUGUGUGAAUAUAUGAAUUGCAUAUUGAUUAAAAAAGUGAAUUGAAAUGAAUUGAAUUGAAGUGAAAUUAUCUGAACUGUGUAUUGAUUAAAAAGUGGAAAGUGAAAUUGAAUUGAAUUGUGAUUGAAUCGAAAGUGAAUUUGAAAUAGAAAAAUGAUUUGAAUACCCUAUUAACUAGGGCUGAGUCGGAUAUAGUUGGCAUGCCAUAGGAUUGGAAGAGUUUAGGGAUACUUCGACCUCGAGUCGAAGAGACACUGGGUGUCACUAUAUUUCUUCUGAUAGAUUCGAUGAGGUACUGGGUACCAACUUACUUCGGCUUGGCCGAUGAGACACUGGGUGUCAGCUUUGUUUGAAACCAUCCGAUAAGGCACUGGGUGCCAUUCUGGUGUGUUUGGUUGGAUCCGUGUAUCCGUCAAAGUCCGAGUCUUGUUAAUAGGGGCAAAUAAAUGGAAUAGCAAAAAUCGAAUGAAAAUGAUCGACUUUAUUCAUGAAAUGGAAAGUGAAUUGAAAUUGAGAAAUGAGAACGAAAAGAAUGAAUCAAAGAUUCAUGAAGAGAUUUAUGUUCAAAUGAAAUGUUAUAUGAUAUUAAAUUGAUGAAUAGCCAAAUUGAGUUGUUAUUGUUGAGAAAUGAAAGUUAAGAAUAAAUUAGUUUAUUUAUGAAUUAAUUGUUAUAUAAUUUGACAUGUUUAUUUGUUAUUUUACUUAAAUAAUUUAAAUUAUAGUAAUACCACUGAGUAUGAAAUACUCAAUGUACGGUUGUUUCUGUGUGCAAAUCAAUAGAAGUAAAAGGUUCCGGUUCAGCAUCCAGAUCAAUCCCGACUUGAGCAUAACUUCAGUGAUGUAUUUUUCCUUUUGGUAAAUGUGGCAUGUACUUAGGUCUUAUUAAAGAGUCUUGUAAGUUUUGGUUGUAAAGAAUUGGUUUCUAAUGCUUGAAUGAUAAACGAAACAUUAAGUUAUAAAAUGGUAUGUUCGGUACUAAAGUUGAGAUGAGAUGAACGAAGUUUAUUAGUUAACUUUUAUAAAGUAUUAUGAAUAUUGUUGAUCAAUUUGAUAAGUAAAUGUUUAGGCAUGAUUUAAACAUGUUUGAAUGUGAAAAUGUGUUGGUUUCUGUAUUGACUGUAAAUUGGUUGCGGUUGAAUUUAUAAGGAAGGUUAGAUAAUUUAUAAAGGGGUUAUAUUGAAUUUAAAAAAAAAAAAAGGAAUGAAUGAAGUCAAUUGGUAAAAAACAUAUGAAUUUAUGAUUAUAUUUUAAUAUGUUUGUCAUUUAUUUAAGAAUUAUUUGUAAAUUGUUUGAUAUGUUCGGUAAUGUCUUGUAACCCUAUUCUAGCGACGGUUUGGGGUUAGGGGAUUGUAAGACCCAAUUUAUGCCCAGGCCCAAAAUUACAACCCAAAUUACAAACCCAUGACCCAGGGCCCAAUAAGCCCAAAACCUUAACUAGUUUCAGUAAAAAAUUUGAAACCCUACCCCUAAUGCGCCGUUCACUUUGCUGCCCACGUGCCUCUGUAGUGCGCCCACAGCCCGAGGACUGGCCACCUUGCAUCAGAAUAGCAAAACCCUGCUUCGUUGACCCCAACACCUGCAAGAAGUCUUCGCACGCAAACAGAAACCGCAAAAAGGAAAACAACCAAGCAGAAAAAAACAGACGAACAAUCCAAAUGGCAAACAACAAAGUUUUUUAAGUUUUUUUCUUCUUUAAAUCAGCUAUAAAAACUGAAUAUGAGCACAGUAAUUGAGGGGGGCUGGGAUUUUCUUUGUAAAAAACUCACAUCAGAAAAUAAAAAAGAGCAGGUUGCUACCUCUUUCGGUUUAUCUACUUUGUUUUUACUUUAUCUGUUUUUCAUUUUGUUUUUCUUUACGAAUCUUUCUUUAAUAUUAAUAAAAAAAAGGGAAAGGGAAGAAAGGAGUACCGGAAUCAUCCCGCAAUCCCUCCGUCGGUGGCCGUUUUGCCGUCGUCGGAUCUAGACCCGAAAGUGGGGGGGUUAAGACUUUUUCCUUUCAUAUUUUUGGGGGUCAAAAAAAAUCUGACUUUUGGGUUUAUUGUAAAACCCGGGGCUAAGGGGGACCUCCUCGCGUCACGUCGGCCCUUGGCCAUGGUGGCUACGCGAUGAUUCGUCGUCGGGUUCGUAGGUCAGAGUCUUGAAGGCUGUGAGCAAACAAAAAACAAAAAGGGGUUCUCUGGUUUUAUUUUUG